rnacentral:rRNA from 1 species
GACGAACGCUGGCGGCGUGCUUAACACAUGCAAGUCGAACGGAAAGGCCCUGCUUUUGUGGGGUGCUCGAGUGGCGAACGGGUGAGUAACACGUGAGUAACCUGCCCUUGACUUUGGGAUAACUUCAGGAAACUGGGGCUAAUACCGGAUAGGAGCUCCUGCUGCAUGGUGGGGGUUGGAAAGUUUCGGCGGUUGGGGAUGGACUCGCGGCUUAUCAGCUUGUUGGUGGGGUAGUGGCUUACCAAGGCUUUGACGGGUAGCCGGCCUGAGAGGGUGACCGGCCACAUUGGGACUGAGAUACGGCGCAGACUCCUACGGGAGGCAGCAGUGGGGAAUAUUGCACAAUGGGCGGAAGCCUGAUGCAGCAACGCCGCGGGCGGGAUGACGGCCUUCGGGUUGUAAACCGCUUUCGCCUGUGACGAAGCGUGAGUGACGGUAAUGGGUAAAGAAGCACCGGCUAACUACGUG